rnacentral:piRNA from 1 species
UGGGAAGAGGAACGGAAAGCCAUCAAGGUC